GACAGAGGGUGCAAACGUUGCUCGGAAUUACUGGGCGUAAAGCGCGUGUAGGCGGACUGGUGUGUCGGAUGUGAAAUCCCCAGGCUCAACCUGGGAACUGCAUUCGAAACUGCCAGCCUUGAGUGGUGGAGAGGGAAGUGGAAUUCCUGGUGUAGAGGUGAAAUUCGUAGAUAUCAGGAGGAACACCGGUGGCGAAGGCGGCGACCUGGGUAGAUACUGACGCUGAGGUGCGAAAGCGUGGGGAGCGAACAGG
rnacentral:rRNA from 1 species